rfam:Gossypium hirsutum cultivar TM-1 chromosome 9, whole genome shotgun sequence
UAUUAAAAAAUUAUCAAUUUCUACUAUUAAAACUUGGCGUGCUUGACAGAAUAACUAGACAAAUACAUUGGCAUGCUACAUGUUCCUUUGCUGACAUAUAAUGACCAGUUUUUAACCGUAAGAGUAGAUAGAAUUUUUAACA